AUUGAACGCUGGCGGCAGGCCUAACACAUGCAAGUCGAACGAGUGGCGGACGGGUGAGUAAUGUCUGGGAAACUGCCUGAUGGAGGGGGAUAACUACUGGAAACGGUAGCUAAUACCGCAUACCAUCGGAUGUGCCCAUAUGGGAUUAGCUAGUAGGUGGGGUAAAGGCUCACCUAGGCGGCGAUCCCUAGCUGGUCUGAGAGGAUGACCAGCCAAACUGGAAAUGAGACACGGCCCAGACUCCUACGGGAGGCAGCAGUGGGGAAUAUUGCACAAUGGGCGAAAUCCUGAUGCAGCCAGGCGGCGGGUAUUAAGAAGGCCUUCGGGUGGUAAAGUACUUUCAGCGGUGAGGCGUUACCCGCAGAAGAAGCACCGGCUAACUCCGUGCCAGCAGCCGCGGUAAUAC
rnacentral:rRNA from 1 species